GGGAAACGGGAAGGCGGCGGCGUCCGCCGUAACAAACGCA
rfam:Cereal yellow dwarf virus - RPV isolate 046, complete genome.